GUUGCAUACCAAAUGAGCAUACUUCCGGCGAAAGAGGAUGCUAUGAUGGCCACCACCAUCGUGACGGAGCCAAUAGCUGCUAGACGUCGGUGGGAGUAAAUCUUCAACAUGGCAGAGACCCACGGACCUUUAUUUACUUUGUACCUGUCAAGUUGAGGACGGCUACAGCUAUUCCGGGAAUCCAUGAGACGCCUGCAAUGUUUGCGGAUUCGUACUCGCGAAUGAUAAAUGGCACCAGAACACCGAAACAAGUCACGGCCGUCGGGAGUACCAUCUGUCAAACAUAUUAGACGGGGCGGAGAUAAAUUUAUUGAUCCGCACCGUAUUUAAUUCUUUCGUUAAUCUACGGUAACUAUUGCUUUUCCCAAUGACUAAGCAAAAAUUUGAGCCCUUAAUUGUCGUUCUUAAAAGUUGUUUUGUAGACGCUAGAAUUUACUGCUUUGGACCUUGUAAAAAUAAAAAGUUAAGUUUCGGGACAAAAGGUUACUUCAGAGGAUUAGUGAAUUUACGACUAAGCGUAUCUUUGGAGUUGGGAAAAAUAGUGCAGUUGUACUUUGUCACGGCACCCUGCCAUAAAAGUAUUUAAAGUCUAAGUGCUUGAACAUUACUCAAUCCUUAACGGCAUGACGGCAUGGCACCAUUUGGUGUAUUACGACAAAAUAGAAGUUUUGACAUUAAAUUUUCACAAACUAAUUCAAAAUAUUUUUUAAAAAUUAACUUUUUUUAAAUUGUUAGUUUAAGUUUUUUUCGACUUACCAGAUUGAUGCUCGUAGCUAAGAUGAUGACCCAACCCCAUCCGCCAUCCGGAGGCACCAAUUUGACAUUUUUGGGCUUAACGUUAAGCGGAGCUGUCGUCAGUUUGGUGGUUUCUUUGCCGUUCUUCUCUUUAGCCAUGAU